UACAGAGGUCUCAAGCGUUGUUCGGAUUCAUUGGGCGUAAAGGGUGCGUAGGCGGCGCGGUAAGUCGGGUGUGAAAUCUCGGGGCUUAACUCCGAAACUGCAUUCGAUACUGCCGUGCUUGAGGACUGGAGAGGAGACUGGAAUUUACGGUGUGCGGUGAAAUGCGUAGAUAUCGUAAGGAAGACCAGUGGCGAAGGCGGGUCUCUGGACAGUUCCUACGCUGAGGCACGAAGGCCAGGGGGAGCAAAACAGG
rnacentral:rRNA from 1 species